GAUGAACGCUGGCGGCGUGCUUAACACAUGCAAGUCGAACGAUGAAGCCCAGCUUGCUGGGUGGAUUAGUGGCGAACGGGUGAGUAACACGUGAGUAACCUGCCCUUGACUCUGGGAUAAGCCUGGGAAACUGGGUCUAAUACUGGAUUUGACUUCUCAUCGCAUGGUGGGGGGUGGAAAGAUUUAUUGGUCUUGGAUGGACUCGCGGCCUAUCAGCUUGUUGGUGAGGUAAUGGCUCACCAAGGCGACGACGGGUAGCCGGCCUGAGAGGGUGACCGGCCACACUGGGACUGAGACACGGCCCAGACUCCUACGGGAGGCAGCAGUGGGGAAUAUUGCACAAUGGGCGCAAGCCUGAUGCAGCGACGCCGCGUGAGGGAUGACGGCCUUCGGGUUGUAAACCUCUUUCAGUAGGGAAGAAGCGAGAGUGACGGUACCUGCAGAAGAAGCGCCGGCUAACUACGUG
rnacentral:rRNA from 1 species